rnacentral:pre_miRNA from 1 species
GGAGUAGUGGAAAUGGGUGAAGUGGAAAGACCUCUUUCCAAUGUGGAUAUGGCGGUCUUUCCACUUCUACCCAUUUCCGCUACUUC